rfam:Stegodyphus mimosarum contig54121, whole genome shotgun sequence.
GCCUUUGGGGUGUAGUGGUCAGCACGCUCGACGCGUAACCGAGAGGUCCGUGGUUCGAUUCCUGGCGAAGGCG